CAUCUCCUCGCAGAGAGGAACGCGCUCGUCAAUAGAUUCGCAAAAAAUUCUUAGCGGAAUCUUUUUAAAAAUCCUUCCAAAGUUUGCGUUUUCUAAUGCCGUUUCCAACACUAGUUACGCUGCCAGAAAGGGCUAUUGAAAGCCACACUUUUCUCCGGUUUCUUGAGAUCUCUUGGUGUCCUAGAUUAACUUCUCUCUCAGAAGUGAUGUGGCAUCUCACAGCACUCGAGAAGAUGGAGAUCAACGACUACCCGAUGCUUGAUUUGGUAGAAGAUGAUAAUGGCAUGCAUUUCAAAGGCCUUAGCAACCUAACUUCUUUGAAGAUUAAAAGAAUACCAAAAUGGGUGCAUCUCCUUGUGGGCCUUCAACUUGUUACCACCCUCAAAUCUCUUCAUAUUGAAAGGUGUGUAGAGUUGAUUACUUUAAAAAAUUCGAUUGGCAAACUCGAAUCACUUCAACGACUUGUCAUUUUUUAUUGCCACAAAUUGACAUCACUGCCAGAUGAAAUACAACAUCUCACGUCCCUCAUGUCACUGGUGAUUGAUGGCUGCCAAGAGCUUGAUUUGUCUGAUGGCUUUCAAUUUCAAGGCCUUUGGAACCUAAGUUCUCUGACCAUAAAAAGAAAUCCAAUGUUGGUGUCUCUUCCUAUGGGUUUUCAGUAUGAUAGCUUUCUACAGUCUCUAGAGAUACAUAUUUGUGAAAAUUUGACAGCUUUGCCUUACUGGAUUGGCAAUCUCAAAUCACUAAAACGGCUCUCCAUUUACGGCUGUCCCAAAUUGGCAUCAUUACCUGAGGGGAUGCAUGGCCUCAAUGCAUUAGAAGUUCUGAGUCUUCACAAUUGUCACCCCAGUUUAUAUAAAAGAUGCCAUAAGGAAACAGGGGAAGAUUGGCCUAAGAUUGCAAACAUCCCAAAUGUUUCUCUGCGAUAAUUAUGCUUACAACAAUGGUAUGCCAAAUAAUCUGAAUUCUUUCAAGUCAAUAAAACUCAAUCUUGAUCUUCUUUCUUUUUCUAGAUUAUUACGUUGUUGAAGUUUAGUUGAUUUUCGUAUGUGGUAGGUACACGGAACUAGAUGGAGCACGCAUUGCUAAAUUCAAAUCUAUUUGACAUAUCUGAUAGGAAUGAGUAUAUCUGUGUUUGUGUGUGUAAAUUGCAUGUGCACUUUCCAGAAAUGCUGAUUCACCAAAAAGAGGAGAUAUAGGUCCGCUUUCUUGAUCGUUGGGUCUAUAUCCUAUAAAAAUAUAUAUUAUAGUGAACACUAUUAUUCCAGGAUAUGUUGGAUUUUCAAUUUGUGCACAAGCACAUCAUUGGGUAUAGUUGUAAGAUGUUUCUUCUCACCCCUUCCUUUCAUUUAUUUAUUUUUUCGUAACUAAAUGAUGAAAGGCCAGCUAAUCUAUUUUCCUAGUUAUGUUUCUUUAGACUUGAAAACAGCAUUAACAAACUUAUUCUAUCUUUAAAUGAACAUCAUUUGAGUGUCAUCAUAAUAAUGAUCAUCAUCACUACUUCAUAAUCAUCUUCUAUUAAAAGUUUAUGUUAACCUUAAGGAUUUCAUCCAAUGACAAUCUAGAGGUUUUGAUGAUAACAAAUCAUUAAUAGUAUUUAAGGACUAAUGUUUACAUUGAGUGUUAUAGAUUAUUCACAUUCAAAGGAUGACCUAAAUGAAGCAUGAAAGAUCAUUCCAAAUAUUCUAUUAUUCAAGAUCAUAUCAAGAAAAGCAAUGGAUACAAAAAAGACAUAAAGUUGCAAAGAAACAAAUGCAAAGUCCAUCCAAAGAUAGCUUGGACUACAACGAGCAAGAAAGCAACUCAAAGAAAGAAAGAAAGCAAGUCUACCUAAAAGCCUACACGAUCAUGAACAAAGCGUGAAGAAAGGAGUAGAUAGGAUGUGACUUGGACUGAAGGAUGACACAACUGAGUAUGGGCAAUUUGAGUGUUUCAUUGUUCCUUCUGGUGAUGGAAAAUUUGAGUUUUUGGGCAUUAUGUCCAGUGUCUCCCUCUUUACUCCUGAAAGCUUCUCCACAUUGUUCGAGGGCGCCCCAAGUAUUUGAAAGAUGCAAAAGGGUAAUUGUGAUAUUGGCGAUGUUUCAUGUAUUGGACCCCCCAAAUGGGCAAUACUUGUUGCAAUAUUGUGUAGAAUUUACUAUAAUUAAGUUCCUUAAUACUGUUUUCCAAUUAAGAUCUGUUUCAAAAAUUGUAUGGGAGAUGCUGCUUGUAGAAAUAGCUAAAAGUAGUUAUCUGUGCAACAGCUGGGACAUUACAUUGUUGUCAUGGGUGAAAAAGGACAUCGUAGUCACACCUUUGGUGUCUAUGCCAAUUCUAUUCUUCAUUUCUUUUGGCAGUCUUAUCCUCCACCCAUAUCCUUUUUGAGAAGUGAAAACAUGAGUCGAAAUUGGUGUUGAAAGAGAAGGUAACAGAGAAGACUAUGUUUGGGAAUUUUUAAUCUCCUCUCAACUUGUAACUAUAUAACAAAAAUGUUGGAGUUAACGUUGAUAAACUUGAACAAGUACUUGACUUUAUGUGUAAUUCCUUUAUUAUAAAAUACUUGUAAGGCAAGAAAUUUCUAUUCUCUAGCUACAAGUCUUCCCCAAUUCACCUAUAAAUAGAGGUGGUUAUUGUAAACAAAAUCAAGAGAGAAUGUAAUG